rnacentral:piRNA from 1 species
GUGACACGGCAACCCGGGUGAUCUCA